CUCUUUCACAGUCCUCCAGGCUUGGGCCGGCCUUGGGGGCAGCAGAGCUUCUGGGCUGACAUGGGCUCAUUGCUCCUUCUCCAAGCCCUCUGAGGACAUCAAAAGCGUGGACGCAUCACUUUCCACCAUCUCGCUGCCCACGGUCCCUCCAUCCUGAUGUCUCCUAAGCACAUGUGUGGGGUGGUGGGCACACUGAUGAUAGCUGUGGAUGCGGCCGUGACAUCCUUCACCCCUGCCCCCAUGGCAUGCGUGAUCCAUUAGGGAGGACCAUCUGCACAAAGGUAAUCCAUUGACUCAGACAGGGGGUUCAUAGAAGAACAGGUGAGAGUGGCGGGGGGGGGGUAUUCCUUGACCAGCUGAGGGUCAGCCAAGGGCAGGAAAGGGGCUGGGCACCCUCAGGGAAUUGAAAGAAGCUCUCUCUGCCUGCAGUGCGGUGAGUGGGCUUGGAGAAUAUGGCAAGAGCUGAGGCUGGAGAUGUAAGCAGGGGCCUUAAGUUUUGUUGAAGGAGCCUGAGUCUUAUCUCCUGGGCAACUGGGAGCCACUACGUAGUUUAAAGCAGGGCCUAACAUAUAUAUGUUUGAAAUCUUUCUCUGGCUCAAGUCUCGAGGAUGAAUUGGAAGUAGAGGACCAACUAAAAAGUUGUUGCAGACAUUAAGGUGGUGUCCUGGGUUAGGUGGGAGGUGAUGGAGAAGAGAAUAGGCUAGUGUUGACAUAUACCCAGGAAGCAAAACCAUUAGGGCAUGAUGCUUAAUGCUUGAUUGGAUUGAUCACAUAGAUGACUAGGAGGAGGACUGACAUAUUUCAAUCUAUGAACGUGGUAUGCC
rnacentral:lncRNA from 1 species